rnacentral:lncRNA from 10 species
CUGCCCUCGGGCCUGGCUCGCCCGCGGGCGGAUGGCUCCGGGUCUCUGCUGCUGAGGAUGUGGCUGCCGGGCGGAGGUCGUCCACUCCCCUGGGCCUUUCUCCGCGAGCCCUCCCACGCCGCCCGCUCCUCUCCCGGGGCGAAGGGCGGGGACGAGGCGCGCCGAAGCCCCGAGCUGAAGAGAAGGGUGGGGGCAUGAGGGCGCUGGAGUGAGGAACAGAUUGGAGCCUUCCCACUUCCUCUCCAAUCUCAGCCCCCGGGAGGAGGGGUGAGGCCCUCGAGGGGGCCCGGAGUUAAGGAGGAAUAGACCGUUUCUCUCUCUCCUGUCUCCCCCGCCUCUGCCCGUCUUCCCUCUAAGCCGGCCUCUAGGUGCAGAGGCUGACGUCCAGGAUGGGGACCGGGGAAGCCUCUGGAGGGUAUAUCCGGGAAGGCACCAAGGCUGAAGUGAGAGCGGUUCUGGGGAAGGCUUUAAAAAGCAGAUAUGGACCAGGGUAGAGUUCGUACGCUGUAGCUUUUCAAGAACACCGAUCUCAUUAAUUAAAGAACAGCAACUAUUUAAUUCCAGUUAUAAACUAUUGUUUUCCAGUUAGUCUGGGUAGGUGUGGCCGUUUGUAGAAUAGUUAGAUUACAUUAGUCUAUUGCGUUGGUACAGUUGUCUAUAGCUUGAGCAUAUAAAAACUCCUGAGCCCAGCAGAAAAGUUACUUUCCAAUACCAGUCUCCAUCCUCCGUGCUUUGGAAGUUGCAUCGUUUUCCGGUUUUUCGUACUCAAAGAACACUGUCAAUUAUGACAGCUCUGUGACCUCUGGUAAUGAAUUAGUGUAUUAGUCACUCCUGAAACGUUCCUUAAAGUGCUGGAACUUAACAGUAGCACAGCACAUCCAGUACACAGCUGUACCGUAUUUCCAUAUUUUUCAAAGCUGAAAAUCUUAAUUGGAUAUCUUGGAUCAUUAACUUAAAACCUCAGCGGAUUUUUCUUUCAAAGCAGACAUAACUGAGGAUGCUGACCAAUGAAUGCAAAUAAACUAUGCAAUAUUUUUUAAAAUAACAAAUGUAUGUUAGUUUUUUUUAAGCUGAGGUCAACUAUGUUUUGGGGGGUAUGUGCUUUUUUAAAUUAUUGUUUUAUUUCAAUCGAUUUUUGGGGGUAACAGGUGGCGUUUGGUUACAUGAAUAAGGUUUUUAGUGGUGAUUUCUGAGAUUUUGGUGCGUCCGAGCAAUGUACACUGUAUCCAAUGUGUAGUCUUUUGUCCCUCAUUAGCCUUCCCCUUACCCCUGAGCUCCCGAGUCCCCAAAGUCCAAUGUAUCAUUCUUAUUGAAGACAGCUAAAUUUUUAACUCUGAGACUCACUGGAGAGAAUGACUGGUUGUCUUUGGGUGUUACUGAAAAGCCAAAGGAUUAAGCAAUAGGGAUAAAGUAGAGGAGGAGAUAAUUGUUCUCGUAUGUCAUAUGAAAAUGCUAACCAUAGUUUGUAAGCUAACAGAAGAAGCCUGAGGAAGUUCCCGAAUUUAUGAUAUCCUCUUCCCUUUUUUCCAAAGAAAGAUGCAGUCUAGCACCUCAGUUAAGAAUAUGGACUCUAAAGUCAGACUGCCAGGCUUCAAAUUCCAGUUCUGCGACCUCAGCAAAGUUACUUAACCAAGCUCUCAGUGCCUUGUUUUCUUCAUCUGUAAAAUGAGGAUGACGUCACAGCAUUGUUGAGAGAAUUAAUACAGGCUCCAGACUUGUGAAUGGAGAAGUGUUGAGGUGACCCCAGCUCCAGCCACCAGCUGACGACAACCAUACCGGAGAUCCUGAGAGCUGCCUAGCUGACCCCAGGCACCCCCCAGACUUAUUCAGCACUUAGAAGAAUGCCAGGCAGGCUUUCCCCACCAACCAAGAUGGAAUAACAGGGAAAAGACAUACCCUUCUAUCUUCAAUAAUUGGAAACCCAGACAAAGUUUAUGAAACGCUGGUUUUCAAGACAUAGGACAUCAGACAAUCAAGGACAGUAAACACUGAGAUGGGAAACAAACAAGGAAGCCAUGAAAACUUCAAAACUGCUUCACCACCUGGAGACCAAGCACCCUGCAUUAAAAGACAAGCCUUUGGAGUUUUUCUAAAGAAAAAACAUGAACACAGAGAACAGAAGUAAUUAUUGAAGGCCACUACUUCAUUAAGUGUGUCUGUACUGAGAGCAUCGUUCCUAGUGGCUAACCACGUUAUUAGGCUAAGAAGCCCUUUAGUAUUGGUGAAGAGUUGAUCCUGCCUGCUGCUAAGGACAUUUGUCAUGAACUUUUAGGAGAGGCUGCUGUUCAAAAGGUGGCACAUGUUCCUCUUUCAGCUAACACCAUAACUAGAAGAAUGGAUGAAAUAGCAGAGAAUAUUGAGGCACAAUUGUUAGAGAGGAUUAAUGAGUCACCGUGCUACACAAUCCACAAAAGGGUUUUGUCCCAGAAAUAGACUCAUACAUAUAUGAUCAGUGAUUUUCAACAGUGGUACAAAUGCAAGUCAGCGCAGAAAAAAUAAUCUCUUCAACAAAUGGUGCAGGAACAAUUGGAUAUCCAUAAAAUGAACUCGGAUCCACGCUUUGCACCAUAUGCAAAAAUUGACUCAAAAUAGGUAUAGGUCCUAGACCUAAAUGUAACAACCUGAAACUCUAAAAUUUCUCAGGAAAAAAAUGGGAUAAAAUCUUUGUGGUCUUGGAUUAGGCAAAGAUAUUUUCUUGUGUUUGUGGGUAAAGAAACCUUUAAUGAGGGUUCAAGGUGUAAGAGGAGGACCUUGUAGAGAGCCAGCGCUUAGCCCCAGCCUCCUCAUAUGCACAUGGCUCUGUAGAGGUUCUCCAGACAGUGCUGCUGCUGCUGUUUCGAGCCUUAUCUCCUCUGUGCUCCUC